AGAGGAUGGCGGCCUCCUGCAGAGCGACUCAAAGCCCUUGUUUUCCUUCUGCACUGCCACAGAACAGGAUUUCCAAGAGGCUCUGCCUCUGCAGCAGGCUUCUGUCUGGAAACAGUAGGGGGUGGAGGUGUGUUGGGGGGUGGAUCCUUCACCAAUGGUUAAGCACCAUCUUCUUGAUGCUGACUUAGUGAUAGUGAGUUCUCAUGAGAUCUGGUUGUAUAACAGGCGGUGGCACCUCUUUCCUCUGUGAGUCUUGCUCCUACUCCUGCCGUAUGAAACAUUUCAUUGCUGCUUUCCUUCUGGUAUGAUUGGGAGGCUUCCUGAGUCUUCCCAGAAGUAGAAGCCACCAUGCUUUCUUUACAGCCUGAAGACCCAUGAGCCAAUGAAUCCCCUUUUCAUUAUGACCACACAGAAAAUAAGUACUGCAAAGUGGAGCUAUGAAAUAUCUUCAAUGACUUUUCCC
rnacentral:lncRNA from 1 species